rnacentral:rRNA from 1 species
GGAUUACUGGGCGUAAAGAGUACGUAGGCGGCUUUGCAAGUCGGGUGUGAAAUCCCUGAGCUUAACUCAGGAACUGCAUUCGAUACUGCAUAGCUAGAGUAUGUUAGAGGAUAGUGGAAUUCCAGGUGUAGCGGUGAAAUGCGUAGAUAUCUGGAGGAACACCAAUGGCGAAGGCAGCUGUCUGGAACAAUACUGACGCUGAGGUACGAAAGCGUGGGGAGCGAACAGGAUUAGAUACCCUGGUAGUCCACGCCGUAAACGAUGAGAACUAGACGUUGGGUAGCAAUACCGGGUGUCGUAGCUAACGCAUUAAGUUCUCCGCCUGGGGAGUACGACCGCAAGGUUGAAACUCAAAGUAAUUGACGGGGGCCCGCACAAGCGGUGGAGCAUGUGGUUUAAUUCGAUGCAACGCGAAGAACCUUACCUACCCUUGACAUCAUCAGAACUUGUUAGAGAUAACUCGGUGCCUUCGGGAACUGAUAGACAGGUGCUGCAUGGCUGUCGUCAGCUCGUGUCGUGAGAUGUUGGGUUAAGUCCCGCAACGAGCGCAACCCUUAUCUUUAGUUGCCAGCGAUUCGGUCGGGAACUCUAAAGAGACUGCCGGUGAUAAACCGGAGGAAGGUGAGGAUGACGUCAAGUCAUCAUGGCCCUUAUGGGUAGGGCUACACACGUGCUACAAUGGACGGUACAGAGGGUCGCCAACCUGCGAAGGGGAGCUAAUCUCAGAAAGCCGUUCUCAGUCCGGAUCGAAGUCUGCAACUCGACUUCGUGAAGUCGGAAUCGCUAGUAAUCGCGAAUCAGCAAUGUCGCGGUGAAUACGUUCCCGGGCCUUGUACACACCGCCCGUCACACCAUGGGAGUUGGUUGCACCAGAAGUGGGUCGUCUAACCUUCGGGGAGAUGCUUACAACGGUGUGGUCAAUGACUGGGGUGAAGUCGUAACAAGGUAGCCGUAGGGGAACCUGUGGCUG